rnacentral:lncRNA from 1 species
GGGUAUGGAGGUAAAGAAAUAAUUAAUAUAAUUGGAAAUAGCAAAGCAGUCUUAUAAAAGUGGACAAAAAAAAUUCUCAAAAAGAUCUUAUAAUUAGGGACGGAGGUAGUACUUUCUAUUUGUAUUUCUCUUUGUAUUUAUUAACAAGUGUCCUUAUAGCUUUGUUAGCAUGACACUAUCUAAUUUGGACCGUUGAACUAAUCUGUAACGUUCUCCCGCAUAUGUUGUCGAAUUUCACCGAGUCAAUUGCAAGAGUGCACCCUUAUAUAAAUGUAGCUUCAUGCCUCACCCAAGGUACAAUCAAAUUUUCACCAUUUGUGCACACAUAUCCUUCCUCAUUCUCUCACUAACUUGAGUGUUGGACUGUUAACAUGUUUUCAAGGUUUCUUCCCCCUUCAUCGAAGAACCUCCUCCUUCACACCAGAGAACCACUUCCAACACAUUGGAAAUCGUCUUGCACUCUCACUCUCAAAGAUUACUCAUCAUUCUGGUCUACUCCAAGUCAAAUGUUGCAAGUACAUAGCAUACUAAGAACUCUUAACCCUAGACCAAACCAAAAGUUAUGAUAUCAGUUGUUGGGGAAAACCAAAAUAGAGAAAAUAAAGGAACACAAUCAUAACAUAAAAACAUAACAUGAAAAAUCCAUAAUCAAAGUAAAAGUCAUGACCAUUAUCUAAUGACACAAUAACACUAUGCAAAUCUUUACAACAUAUACUACUCUCAAGCCCUCACCGACCCCGUACACCCACAUAAUGACAGCUAGAAAAUAACAUUAUAUGCAAAUCUUUACAACAUAUACUACUCUCAAACAUUCACCGACCCCAAACACCUACACAUUCAAAAGCAAAUACUUAACUACAUUUCACAACACUCUAAGAUAGAAGAAUAGGAGAGGAAAAAACAUUUAGAGGCAAGCUUAAAAUAUUUCUGUAAAAUGCAUUUUGUAGCGAAGAAAUAGAGCGCUCCGUUUGUAAUUAAUGUUCUAUUGUGUUUAGAUCUAGAAAAACAAAUAGGGUAAAAUUGUUAUAUUUUCUUAACUUAUUUAAUCAGUGUUGCAGUUAAUCAAUAAUGAUUAAGCCGUGGAUCACAAAUUAAAGGAAAAGUAGAUGAACGUAGACAUUGUUAUUUAUCUAUUUUUAUUAUUUAAGACGCUCAGAUUAUUCGUGAUAAGAAGUUGAUAUUGUUAUCCAUUGAAGUACUGUUUGCAAGUUUUCUUCUAUGCCUAAGAAGAAAGUGUAUGCAUCUGGUCACCAAUUAAACGAUCCUCUUUAUUUAUUACCAAUCGGUGGAUGGCAUGGAAAGGGAAGGAAAGCUGGAUGGUAGUUUAGCAUCUCAAUCUUUAUGUCUGUUGAAAUCUUGACAAUAAAUCAAUUAAACAAAGCUGGAUGGCAUUUUUCUUUCAAAAAUACAAUUAAUGAAAUUG